AUCAUUAGCAUUUUCCCCGUUUGUGUAAACAGAUGGCCAGGAUUAGCAUGAAGUGGUCAAACAUUUGCCUUUCAUUGGUGAAUUUAAGAACAGAUGUCCAGCCCUCUUUAAUGAGGUGUCUGUGGAAUUCAGUACAAAUACAACGGUCCCUUUGGUGGCCAAAUUCAUGAGUCAACUCGAUCAUUUCUCAACUCAGCUCAUCAGUGUUUUCAGAAAGAAAUGAGGAGCAGCAGGACAGAAGAUCAACAACAUCCUGUCAGUUAUGGAUCAGGAUGUUGAACAUGAUGAAGCCCAAACCUCGAUGCAUAACACCACCCUAGGAAGCUACGUCAUCAAACCUGAAGGGGCACAUGCCACAGACCCUUACCAAGAUGUUGGCAUCAUAUUUGAAGGCAUCAAAAUACUUGAAAACCUAAACAAUGUUGCCGAAGCGUGUUCUAUGAUGCUUGGUCUAAUUUAUGCAUUAAACUUGGCCUAUACACAAGACUUCAGAUACACAUUUGAAACAUUUUAAAAGCUUUUUAUGGAGCUAAAUGCCAACAAUCUGUCAAACAAGGUCCAUGUCCUGAAAAAUAAACUUCUUUUGUAAGUAUUUACUCGAGGUAAUGUUCAAGAGGUGGUACUUAUGUUUCCUCAAUGAUGUUACACUGUUGGCUUGUUACAGCACAUUUGUUCCAGGACUGACCAUGUUACACUUUUUUUCAUUAUCGAUCUCGUUUUAAAUAAAUGCUUUAUUUUUUCACAAUUUAAAGGAGGCACAGAUUGCAAGAGAGACUUUUCACCCACAUAAUUUCAUUUAUAGGCAAUGCUUUUAUUUUUUUUUUUUUUGUAUUUUCCAGUCUGCUUUUAAUAAUAAUAAAACAGAAAGCAGUUUUAAAGAUACAGAUUUUGAACAAAUAAUUUUCGUUGGACAUUUGUAAAAGGUAUGUUCUUGAAUACAUUAAGUACUCUGUUUGGUUGCAAUGCAAAUGUAGGUUAAGUAAAGAACCAUGUUUGAGUAAAUAACUUUACUCGGAAAACACUGUCUGUAAAGACCAGUGUUGUAUAAAGUACUAGAAAGCAAUACUUGUGUAAAA